rnacentral:rRNA from 1 species
GGGUUGUGAGGUUAAGCGACUAAGCGUACACGGUGGAUGCCCUGGCAGUCAGAGGCGAUGAAGGACGUGCUAAUCUGCGAUAAGCGUCGGUAAGGUGAUAUGAACCGUUAUAACCGGCGAUUUCCGAAUGGGGAAACCCAGUGUGAUUCGUCACACUAUCAUUAACUGAAUCCAUAGGUUAAUGAGGCGAACCGGGGGAACUGAAACAUCUAAGUACCCCGAGGAAAAGAAAUCAACCGAGAUUCCCCCAGUAGCGGCGAGCGAACGGGGAGCAGCCCAGAGCCUGAAUCAGUGUGUGUGUUAGUGGAAGCGUCUGGAAAGGCGCGCGAUACAGGGUGACAGCCCCGUACACAAAAAUGCACAUACUGUGAGCUCGAUGAGUAGGGCGGGACACGUGGUAUCCUGUCUGAAUAUGGGGGGACCAUCCUCCAAGGCUAAAUACUCCUGACUGACCGAUAGUGAACCAGUACCGUGAGGGAAAGGCGAAAAGAACCCCGGCGAGGGGAGUGAAAAAGAACCUGAAACCGUGUACGUACAAGCAGUGG